rnacentral:rRNA from 1 species
UGGGGAAUAUUGGACAAUGGGGGCAACCCUGAUCCAGCAAUGCCGCGUGUGUGAAGAAGGCCUGCGGGUUGUAAAGCACUUUCAGUAGAGAAGAAAAGCUCAGGGAUAAUACCCUUGGGUCUUGACGUAACCUACAGAAGAAGCACCGGCUAACUCCGUGCCAGCAGCCGCGGUAAUACGGAGGGUGCGAGCGUUAAUCGGAAUUACUGGGCGUAAAGCGCGCGUAGGCGGCUACGUAAGUCGGAUGUGAAAGCCCUGGGCUUAACCUGGGAAUUGCAUCCGAAACUGCGUGACUAGAGUAUGUGAGAGGGAAGGGGAAUUCCGGGUGUAGCGGUGAAAUGCGUAGAUAUCCGGAGGAACACCGGUGGCGAAGGCGCCUUCCUGGCACAAUACUGACGCUGAGGUGCGAAAGCGUGGGGAGCGAACAGGAUUAGAUACCCCCGUAGUCC